GACGAACGCUGGCGGCAGGCUUAACACAUGCAAGUCGAACGGUAACAUGAGAGCUUGCUCUUGAUGACGAGUGGCGCACGGGUGCGUAACACGUAUGCAACCUACCCUUAACAGGGGGAUAGCCCGGAGAAAUCCGGAUUAAUACCCCAUAGUAUCUUCAUUUCGCAUGUUAUGAAGAUUAAAGCUUCGGUGGUUAAGGAUGGGCAUGCGGGACAUUAGUUUGUUGGUGAGGUAACGGCUCACCAAGACUACGAUGCCUAGGGGUUCUGAGAGGAUGAUCCCCCACACUGGUACUGAGAUACGGACCAG
rnacentral:rRNA from 1 species